rnacentral:siRNA from 1 species
UACCUUAUUGAUUUCUGGUCCG